rnacentral:rRNA from 1 species
UACGGGGGGGGCAAGCGUUGUUCGGAUUCACUGGGCUUAAAGGGCGCGUAGGCGGCUUGCCAAGUCAGGGGUGAAAUCUUUCGGCUCAACCGGAAAAGUGCUUCUGAUACUGGCGGGCUGGAGGAGGGUAGGGGCGGGCGGAACUUCCGGUGGAGCGGUGAAAUGCGUAGAUAUCGGAAGGAACGCCGGUGGCGAAAGCGGCCCGCUGGACCCUUUCUGACGCUGAUGCGCGAAAGCCAGGGGAGCAAACGGG